UACGUAGGGGGCAAGCGUUGUCCGGAAUUACUGGGCGUAAAGCGCGUGUAGGUGGGAGAGCAAGUCCGGUGGGAAAGCCCGCGGCUCAACCGCGGAAGGUCGCUGGAAACUGCUUUUCUUGAGGGUGAUAGAGGGAAGUGGAAUUGCUGGUGUAGCGGUGAAAUGCGCAGAUAUCAGGAAGAACACCCGUGGCGAAGGCGGCUCUCUGGGACGGUACUGACGCUGAGACGCGAAAAGCGUGGG
rnacentral:rRNA from 1 species